rnacentral:rRNA from 1 species
GACGAACGCUGGCGGCGUGCUUAACACAUGCAAGUCGAACGGUAAGGCCCUUCGGGGUACACGAGUGGCGAACGGGUGAGCAACACGUGGGUGAUCUGCCCUGCACUUCGGGAUAAGCCUGGGAAACUGGGUCUAAUACCGGAUAGGACCACUGCCUGCAUGGGUGGUGGUGGAAAGCUUUUGCGGUGUGGGAUGGGCCCGCGACCUAUCAGCUUGUUGGUGGGGUGAUGGCCUACCAAGGCGACGACGGGUAGCCGGCCUGAGAGGGUGACCGGCCACACUGGGACUGAGAUACGGCCCAGACUCCUACGGGAGGCAGCAGUGGGGAAUAUUGCACAAUGGGCGCAAGCCUGAUGCAGCGACGCCGCGUGAGGGAUGACGGCCUUCGGGUUGUAAACCUCUUUCAGCACCGACGAAGCGCAAGUGACGGUAGGUGCAGAAGAAGGACCGGCCAACUACGUGCCAGCCGCCGCGGUAA